GGCAAGAUGGCCGAGCGGUCUAAGGCGUGUGACUCAAGCGUAAUAGCUUACCUGUUAUAAUCGCGGGUUUUCAAAACUUCUCAUCUUCGUAUGAAGGCGUGGGUUCAAAUCCCACUCUUGUCA